ACUUUCCAGGUCUGUGUUGCUUUCAAUUUUGUUCACACUCAUGCAGAAAAAGACUUGAAAGGAAGGCAUUUUAAACCAAAUCUUACUGGACUCAUAUUAAAACCAGUUGGCUUUUGUGAGGUGUAUUUGUGAGGACGCGGCUGUUUAAGUCAUCUUGCUCAUAAAGACUGAUUGGAAUGAGAGAGACAUUUUGAUUGACUGAAGACUCAAGCUGUUGACUGUAUCAAUCGACGGGACUCUGGACUGGACGGUAAGUUUUGAUUGAUCGAUGAUAAUUGACUCUCGGCUCGGUCUAGAUGGCGCAGAAAUAAGAUAACCCAUGGUCCAGACUGUGUGGAUAACCGGUCAGAUAGAGAGCUUUAUUUACAUCACAAGUGUGCUAACGUAUUGAUUACAUGG